rnacentral:rRNA from 2 species
CUGGGUGAUUUAGCUUGUCGUGUCCUACUCGUUUCCAUUCCGAACACGCAAGUAAAAGCGACAAGCCCUGAUGAUACUACCCUGUUCGCGGGGUGGGAAAGUAAGGUUCGCCUGGA